UACGAAGGGGGCUAGCGUUGCUCGGAAUCACUGGGCGUAAAGCGCACGUAGGCGGACUCUUAAGUCGGUGGUGAAAUCCUGGAGCUCAACUCCAGAACUGCCUUCGAUACUGAGAGUCUCGAGUCCGGGAGAGGUGAGUGGAACUGCGAGUGUAGAGGUGAAAUUCGUAGAUAUUCGCAAGAACACCAGUGGCGAAGGCGGCUCACUGGCCCGGUACUGACGCUGAGGUGCGAAAGCGUGGGGA
rnacentral:rRNA from 1 species